rnacentral:tRNA from 1 species
GCCCGGAUGGCGAAAUUGGUAGACGCAAGGGACUUAAAAUCCCUCGGAGUUGACUCUCCGUGUCGGUUCGAGUCCGACUCCGGGCACCA